AAAUAAACUUUGUUCAGCGAUUAUAAAACACGAAUUAAAGGAAGAUGAAAAUAAAAAAAUAACCCAAAAACGGUUACAAGAAAUAGCUUUGCAAAUACAAAGUGUUAUUCCAGGAGAAAUUCAGGAGACAUAUUAUAUUCCUUACAAAAGAUAUUCAGCGGAAAAAAAAG